CGAAAGGUGUUAUUAAGCACCAACAACUCUAACAAUAGUGUGAUAU
rfam:Glossina morsitans morsitans, isolate Yale, WGS project CCAG01000000 data, contig: ctg10019321